AAAAACCGAGCCAGGAUCAAUUUGAUAUGCGCAUGGUAAAUUUGUGUUUUUUAGACACAUAUCAUUUUUACCAUCAAAUAAUGUCAAAUUGAUACCAAAAAAUGUCAAAUUGUCGAUUUCUCUCUUUUCGGAAAUUUCUUGACAUCGAAAAAGAGAGGAUGUAGCAAUAUGGCGACAUCAAUCACGUGAGUGGAAGCGAAAAGGAUAUAUUCGAAAUUCGAAUUGGGCUAAUUCGAACAUGUUGUCUCGCUUGCACUAGGAUGCGUUUUAGUGGAUUUUUUGCCACUUGAAUUUUAUUUUGAUGCAGGUCGGACGUGCAUGGUCAGUGUAGUGUUUCUCCAAGUUGAAAAAAACAGAAAAAAUGACGGAGUCUGAAAAGGAAGAACUAUUAAGUUUCUUGACUGAUCAGGACCUACCAAUGUCCUGUUACGACUGUCUUAUUGAUUGUUGUUUUACUUUCCAAAGGCUCAAAUAUAUAAACGAUAGCGACUUGCUGCAUAUAUUCCCAAAAAGAGAGCAGUGCGGGAUUCUGGAUAUUCUGGAAAGUUUUUGAAAAACAAUUUUUGUUAUUACCCAGUUAAUUGAAGUUUCCAAUUUUAGCGACCAUUAUCAAGCUUAUGUGGUGGGUGCUGAAUUGGAAAAUUAUAAGAUUGAUAAUAUAGAAAACUUUGAGGGCCCGCCGAUUCAUUUGUACAUAAACUCUAGUAAUAAGCUAAUAAGAAUAAAGAAAUUUUAGUUAAUAAGUAUAUAUAAGUACAAAAAUAAAGAUUCAACGUAAAUAUAAAAAAAAGUGUAGAUAUGAAAUAUAUAUUUAAGUACAAAAAUAAAGACUCAAUGUAAAUAUAAAAGAGGUGUAAAUAUGAAAUACAAAUUCUUUGUAAA